UCCAGUUGAUCUAACGUUGUCUCUACUUUUAUCAGGACUUAAUUGGACUUAGUCUCUUACCUUGGGAGUUGGAAUACAUUGGACUAGACUUCUUCUUCGAGCCGCACAAGACACUGCACUUCUUCAAAGUAUGAUUCCUUCCUUCUCUCUUCCCUUCAGCCUUUAAAAGAAACUGUGGAAAAGGCUAUAGGUAGAAGUGAUAUGAGGGAUGUUGCGUAAACCCGUGCAUACUUCGGAUCUCAUGGAUACCCGAAAAAAAAAAAAAGACAGUUCAUAAAAAAAAACAGAAAGAAAGAAAAAAGAAGAAGAAAAAGGAAUCGUUGAAAAAAUAAAAUGAUACCCUAGAAAAGUAGGGAGAUAUCGAUUACCUUAGAUGUGAGAAAAGGGAGAAGAAGUGAAAUCAUACGAAAAAUGUCUUGGUU
rnacentral:lncRNA from 1 species